GGGCAGAUUAGCAGUUGGAGGUGAUACAGGCUGAGAGAAGUGGGUAGGACUAGGACACAUCUCCCACACAUCACAGGGGAGGCAGUGUAGUGGGCCUUUAAGAGCCCUGGAGAGUUGUUCCCCAGAGGUUUCCUCCCCUAUGUGGUAAAUGGCCUUUUACAGCUUCACCCCCAUUUGGGUUGUUAGAUACGUUUUUCUGCAGUACAUCAUUUGUCCUAUGUUUAUUACAUCUUACAGAAUUCAAGACCCGGUGAGCAAGAUUUCAUUCCGACAGCAAAACAAAUUAACAAAGUUUAAUGUGCAUAAUGAAUGCAUUAGCAGACAAACGUUU